rnacentral:rRNA from 1 species
CCUAGUUAAUUCUACUAGUAGUUAUAUACUUAUCUUAAAGAUUAAGCUAUAUAUAUCUAAGUAUAAGUAACUAUACGGUAAAACUACGAAUAGCUUAUUAAAUUAGUUAUCGUUUAUUUAAUAGUACCUUACUAUAUAGAUAACCGUAGUAAUUCUAGAGCUAAUAUAUACUAAAAACCUCGACUUCGGAAGGGGUAUAUUUAUUAGAUAAAAAACUAAUGCCCUUCGGGGCUCCUUAGUAAAUUAUAAUAACUUUACGAAUUAUAUAGCCUUACGCCGGCGAUAGUUUAUUUAAAUUUCUACCCUAUUAACUUUCGAUAGUAGGAUAGAGGCCUACUAUAGUUUUAACGGGUAACGGGGAAUUAGGGUUCGACUCCGGAGAGGGAGCCUAAGAAACGGCUACUAUAUCUAAGGAAGGUAGUAGGCGCGUAAAUUACCUAAUCCCGAUACGGGGAGGUAGUAAUAAUAAAUACUAAUAUAGAGCUCUUUUAGGUCUUAUAAUUAGAAUAAGUAUAAUUUAAAUCCCUUAACGAGGAACAAUUAGAGGGUAAGUCUAGUACUAGUAGCCGCGGUAAUUCUAGCUCUAAUAGCGUAUAUUAAAGUUAUUAUAGUUAAAAAGCUCGUAGUUAAACCUUAGGCCUAGCUAGCCGGUCCGCCUUACCGCGUAUACUAGUCCGGCCGGGCCUUUCCUUCUAGGGAGCUAUAUACCCUUUACUAGGCGUACUAGGGAACUAGGACUUUUACUUUAAAAAAAUUAGAGUAUUUAAAGUAGGCCUUUACUCGAAUACAUUAGUAUAGAAUAAUAGAAUAGGACGUAUAGUUCUAUUUUGUUAGUUUCUAGGACCGCCGUAAUAAUUAAUAGGGAUAGUCGGGGGCAUCCGUAUUUAAUUAUUAGAGGUAAAAUUCUUAGAUUUAUUAAAGACGAACUACUACGAAAGCAUUUACUAAGGAUGUUUUUAUUAAUUAGUAAACGAAAGUUAGGGGAUCGAAGACGAUUAGAUACCGUCGUAGUCUUAACUAUAAACUAUACCGACUAGGGAUCGGUAGAUAUUAUCUUUUUAACUCUAUUAGUACCUUACGAGAAAUUAAAGUUUUUAGGUUCUAGGAGGAGUAUAGUCGUAAGGCUAAAACUUAAAGAAAUUAACGGAAGGGCACUACUAGGCGUAGAGCCUACGGCUUAAUUUAACUUAAUACGGGGAAACUUACUAUAUCUAGAUAUAAGUAGGAUUAAUAGAUUAAGAGCUCUUUCUUAAUUUUGUAGGUAGUAGUAUAUAGCCGUUCUUAGUUAGUAGAGUAAUUUGUCUACUUAAUUACGAUAACGAACGAGACCUUAACCUACUAAAUAGCUAGGCCCGCUUUAGCGGGUCGCCGGCUUCUUAGAGGGACUAUCGGCUUAAGCCGAUAGAAGUUUAAGGUAAUAAUAGGUCUAUAAUACCCUUAGAUGUUCUAGGCCGUACGCGCGCUAUACUAACGGAGCUAACGAGUUUAUUACCUUAGCCGGAAGGUCUAGGUAAUCUUAUUAAACUCCGUCGUACUAGGGAUAGAGUAUUAUAAUUAUUACUCUUUAACGAGGAAUGCCUAGUAAGCGUAUAUUAUUAGUAUACGUUAAUUAUAUCCCUACCCUUUAUAUAUACCGCCCGUUACUACUACCGAUUAAAUAGCUUAGUAAGGCCUUUAGACUAGCUUAGGGAGGUCGGUAACGACUACCUAGAGCCGGAAAGUUAGUUAAACUCGGUUAUUUAGAGGAAUUAAAAGUCGUAAUAAGGUCUCCGUAGGUAAACCUACGGAGG